CCCUUAGAUGUCCUGGGCUACACGCGCGCUACACUGAUGUGUCCAGUAAGCACCUAACCUAUUCCGAGAGGAGCGGGUAACCUUAGCAAAGCACAUCGUGAUGGGGAUAGAUUAUUGCAAUUAUUAGUCUUGAACGAGGAAUUCCUAGUAAGCACAAGUCAUCAGCUUGUGUUGAUUACGUCCCUGCCCUUUGUACACACCGCCCGUCGCUCCUACCGAUUGAACGGUUUAGUGAGGGCCUCGGAUUGGUCUCGGCCCGCUCUUUACCGGGCGGCGCCGUUGGUCGAGAAGACGCUCGAACUUGAUCGUUUAGAGGAAGUAAAAGUCGUAACA
rnacentral:rRNA from 1 species